CCUGCCCUUGCAGGUGUUGCUUGAGUGGCUGCUGUGUCACAUGUGUGUCGAUAGGUGGCAGAAAGAAGUGAGGCUAUGUCUAUGCCGUGCUUCGACCUAUGAACAUCUGAAUGAUGAGUAACCUGAAACU